AAGGAACAGUGAGUGGAAUUUAGAACUGAAAGCAACAUGGACAAAACCAACUUCAUCACUUUGAGUGACUAUAGAGAAAAUAAGUGUAAGAACAGCUACUCAGUGUGGCACAUUGUUUCAGAGUAAUAAUUUCAUUAUAUUUUUUGGUUGGAGGAUGAGGAUAAACCCAUUUUCAGCAAAACUUUAUAGAGACCAAACACUGCUUCUUAUGGUCAGCACUGAAAUUUUUCCUUUGGAGAAAAAAACAAAAGCAAAGGCGGGAAAGAAGAAAGAGAUGAAGAACGAUGGCCCAGCGUGGAAAAAGAGCAACAUGAGGUUGGUGGGUUGGUGGUAAGAAGAGAUGAAGCCCACCUAUCUCUCAGAUGAGGAGAUGAGGACUUGAUAGCUCAACACUGACAUACCUAGUUAUCAAGAAGACAGUUCACAUAGUUUUGAUAUUUUCUGAAACAAAUAAAGAUGACCAGAGGCCCUU
rnacentral:lncRNA from 12 species